ACUCCUACGGGAGGCAGCAGUGGGAAUAUUGCACAAUGGGGAAGCCCUCGAUGCAGCCAUGCCGCGUGUGUGAAGAAGGCCUUCGGGUUGUAAAGACACUUUCAGUAGGGGAGGAGUAGUGUAGUUAACACCUGCAUUAUUUGACGUUACCUACAGAAGAAGCACCGGCUAACUCCGUGCCAGCAGCCGCGGUAAUACGGAGGGUGCGAGCGUUAAUCGGAAUUACUGGGCGUAAAGCGCAUGCAGGCGGCCUGUUAAGUCAGAUGUGAAAGCCCGGGCUUAACCUCGGAAUUGCAUUUGAAACUGGCAGGCUAGAGUCUUGUAGAGGGGGUGAAAUUGAUCAGGUGUAGCGGUGAAAUGCGUAGAGAUGUGGAGGAAUACCGAUGGCGAAGGCAGCCCC
rnacentral:rRNA from 1 species